UCGCAUACUAUAAUGCAGUCGAGCGGACAGAUGGGAGCUUGCUCCCUGAUGAUAGCGGCGGACGGGUGAGUAACACGUGGGUAACCUGCCUGUAAGACUGGGAUAACUCCGGGAAACCGGGGCUAAUACCGGAUGGUUGUUUGAACCGCAUGGUUCAGACAUAAAAGGUGGCUUCGGCUACCACUUACAGAUGGACCCGCGGCGCAUUAGCUAGUUGGUGAGGUAACGGCUCACCAAGGCGACGAUGCGUAGCCGACCUGAGAGGGUGAUCGGCCACACUGGGACUGAGACACGGCCCAGACUCCUACGGGAGGCAGCAGUAGGGAAUCUUCCGCAAUGGACGAAAGUCUGACGGAGCAACGCGGCGUGAGUGAUGAAGGUUUUCGGAUCGUAAAGCUCUGUUGUUAGGGAAGAACAAGUGCCGUUCAAAUAGGGCGGCACCUUGACGGUACCUAACCAGAAAGCCACGGCUAACUACGUGCCAGCAGCCGCGGUAAUACGUAGGUGGCAAGCGUUGUCCGGAAUUAUUGGGCGUAAAGGGCUCGCAGGCGGUUUCUUAAGUCUGAUGUGAAAGCCCCCGGCUCAACCGGGGAGGGUCAUUGGAAACUGGGGAACUUGAGUGCAGAAGAGGAGAGUGGAAUUCCACGUGUAGCGGUGAAAUGCGUAGAGAUGUGGAGGAACACCAGUGGCGAAGGCGACUCUCUGGUCUGUAACUGACGCUGAGGAGCGAAAGCGUGGGGAGCGAACAGGAUUAGAUACCCUGGUAGUCCACGCCGUAAACGAUGAGUGCUAAGUGUUAGGGGGUUUCCGCCCCUUAGUGCUGCAGCUAACGCAUUAAGCACUCCGCCUGGGGAGUUCGGUGGCAAGACUGAAACUCAAAGGAAUUGACGGGGGCCCGCACAAGCGGUGGAGCAUGUGGUUUAAUUCGAAGCAACGCGAAGAACCUUACCAGGGCUUGGCAUCCUCUGACAAUCCUAAAAGAUAGGACGUCCCCUUCGGGGGAAAAAGACAAGGGGGCUAAU
rnacentral:rRNA from 1 species